AGUAGUAGUAGUGCACUUUCGAGCCUGUUUGACACGAUACUCUUGGCAACCAUUGCAUCCGAGGUAGUGACGAGAAAGAGUCUUACCUUUGCUUUAUAAGAAAACGCGAGCAAACGUGAAACUCAUAUUGUACGUACAUAAACUUCAUGUUAUGUAAUGUUAAAACAUGCUUAAACAUAUAUCAAGUUCAACAGUUUGAUUUUCACUUAAGAACUGCAUUUCGUCAACCUUUGCUUAAUUUCUAAUCUUUUGUGUUUUAUCCGUUAAAAAACAAUUUUUAUAUAAUUUGAAAUCUUCAAGACACUACGUGACGGCGUAGUAGAGUGGUUAGCGCACUGGACUUCGAAACAUAGCUGCCCUGGUUCGAGUCCUACCAUUGGCGACUACUGUUUUAAUUUUUUUUUAGACUUUUUUAAAUACUAAUUCAAAUACUUAUAAAGUUUUAUAGAUAUUGUAUAUAGACAACAUAUGUAAAGAUAUUAAUCAAAAGUUUGAUCCUUGCAUUUUGACACAGAACCAACUUCGCUAACGAGAGAAAAAAAAUCGUUCACAAAUUUCAAAAUUUUGUUUUUUCAUGAAGUCUUUUAACACUUAGUUUCCAACUUUCUUGACAUAUUCCAAGUCUUUUUGAGAAAAAACUUUGUUGAUCAAAUAUACAAAAACAGAAAUUCAGGUUUUUUGUAUAUGAUAAAUAUUGCUGUGGUACAAAGUGCCAACCUAGGUUUUUUAAACAAAAUGCCAAUCGAGUUUUUCUUCCACGCGGUUUUAAUCACCACGAGGCUUAGUUAAAUGCUUAGUUAAAUACUUAAAAAAAGAUAAAAUUUAAGGCUUAAAAAAAGAAUUUUUUACAAAUUUUUUCUUACAUCUCUUUAAUCCUUGACUUUUGGAUUUAGAUUUAUUACAUUGAUAGUAACAUUAUCAUAUUAUUAUUUUUAGAUUAUUACAUUGUUUGAUAUUUUUUUAGAUUAAUAAAUUUGAAAAUAAAUCAUGUCAGGUAGCAUUUUUUUUUUUUUUUUCUUUAGUUAAUUUUUUUUUUUAAUUGCUUAUUGACCUCUUUUUAAAUUUUUAGAAGCUUUAGAUGACGAUUUGAUGUUUAUGGUGCAACCACAACAAAAUGCUCAACAACAACCACAUUCUGAACCGCAACAAC